rnacentral:rRNA from 1 species
GACGAACGCUGGCGGCGUGCCUAAUACAUGCAAGUAGAACGCUGAAGGAGGAGCUCGCUUCUCUGGAUGAGUUGCGAACGGGUGAGUAACGCGUAGGUAACCUGCCUGGUAGCGGGGGAUAACUAUUGGAAACGAUAGCUAAUACCGCAUAAUAGCAGUUGUUGCAUGACAACUGUUUGAAAGGUGCAAAUGCAUCACUACCAGAUGGACCUGCGUUGUAUUAGCUAGUUGGUGGGGUAACGGCUCACCAAGGCGACGAUACAUAGCCGACCUGAGAGGGUGAUCGGCCACACUGGGACUGAGACACGGCCCAGACUCCUACGGGAGGCAGCAGUAGGGAAUCUUCGGCAAUGGACGGAAGUCUGACCGAGCAACGCCGCGUGAGUGAAGAAGGUUUUCGGAUCGUAAAGCUCUGUUGUAAGAGAAGAACGAGUGUGAGAGUGGAAAGUUCACACUGUGACGGUAUCUUACCAGAAAGGGACGGCUAACUACGUGCCAGCAGCCGCGGUAAUACGUAGGUCCCGAGCGUUGUCCGGAUUUAUUGGGCGUAAAGCGAGCGCAGGCGGUUAGAUAAGUCUGAAGUUAAAGGCUGUGGCUUAACCAUAGUACGCUUUGGAAACUGUUUAACUUGAGUGCAAGAGGGGAGAGUGGAAUUCCAUGUGUAGCGGUGAAAUGCGUAGAUAUAUGGAGGAACACCGGUGGCGAAAGCGGCUCUCUGGCUUG